AACGAACGCUGGCGGCAGGCCUAACACAUGCAAGUCGAGCGAAGCCUUCGGGCUUAGCGGCGGACGGGUGAGUAACGCGUGGGAACGUGCCCUUUGCUACGGAAUAGCCCCGGGAAACUGGGAGUAAUACCGUAUGUGCCCUUCGGGGGAAAGAUUUAUCGGCAAAGGAUCGGCCCGCGUUGGAUUAGGUAGUUGGUGGGGUAAUGGCCUACCAAGCCGACGAUCCAUAGCUGGUUUGAGAGGAUGAUCAGCCACACUGGGACUGAGACACGGCCCAGACUCCUACGGGGGGCAGCUGUGGGGAAUCUUAGACAAUGGGGGAAACCCUGAUCUAGCCAUGCCGCGUGAUCGAUGAAGGCCUUAGGGUUGUAAAGAUCUUUCAGUGGGGAAGAUAAUGACUGUACCCACAGAAGAAGCCCCGGCUAACUCCGUGCCAGCAGCCGCGGUAACAC
rnacentral:rRNA from 1 species